AUGCUUGGUUCGUCCUUACGGAAAAUAGAGAAUAGGCGGGUUCCUGGAACCCCUGCGCUGUCUGGGUGGCACAUCUCCAUCCCCACCCCGCUCCAGCGCUCUGGCCCGGACUUACUGCAACUCUGUCCAGGCGGGGACUCCGCCGGCCAGUCCAGCCUCCCUGGGAGCUGGGUCGUGGGAGGAACCUGGCAGCAGGCACCAACCAACAGACUCUGCAUGCUGAGACACAAGCAGCCCAUGCCGGCAAGACUAUUUUAUAAACAUGAUUUCUUUUCAGCGUUAAUCCAGUGGAUUAGAUACAGCUGUGUUCAUUCUGCUGGUUCUUUCAUUUCAAAGCUGCUCCAACGCACUUUCAUCUUCAAAAGUCCAGUCUGUGGAGGUGGUGUGUGGGUGGACAUUUGGGAAGCACGGUGCUCAAGAAAGUUAGAUCAGAAGUCAAGUACGUCUGAAUCUAAAUCUCUACUACUUUCCAGCUCUGUGACCUUGGAUGAAUUGUUCAACCUUCCUGAGACUUAGCUUUCCAGUCUGUAAAAUGGGAAGAAUAAUGUCUGCUUCAUAAGUGUGAAAAUAAAUACAAUUUAAAAGCUGUUGAAACCCCUCAAACACUUUAAGCCUCGAGAGAGACGCGACUGUGAUCUGAGUCACAGACGGUUAUCACGUCUGUUUUUCAGAUCAUAGAUUCCCUUGCUUUUUUAUUUUUCUUGUUCUGUACAAUGACCAGAGAGAGCUGAAUGACUUCAGGGGUGAAAACCUCCUGCCUUCUUAAUUAAUGAGCCCUGUGAUAGAUUAACUUCCCCUUUUGUUGCCCUGCUUUGCUUAGACCAGAUAACGGAAAGCCCAUGACUAGUACUUCCUCUGUCAAAAAUGUUAAAUGUACCGUUCCCAAAAAGAAACACUGCCUAACCAAUCAAAUUGCUGCAACUGUUAAUAUACACCAAAGUUGUAUGAAAAAUGUAAUCCUGCUCAAAAAAAAACCAAAAAAACAAAAAAAAACCAAAAAAACCUCCAUCUCUGCCUGUUUAAGUGAAACCUUAAGUUUCCCACUUGGAAACAUUGACUCCAUUUCUUGAAAUCGGUGUUUCCCGAUGGGCCAUCCUCACACUUGGUGUUUGAAGAAAGUCUCUUUAUU
rnacentral:lncRNA from 1 species